rnacentral:rRNA from 1 species
GUAGGUGGCAAGCGUUGUCCGGAAUUAUUGGGCGUAAAGCGCGCACAGGCGGUUCUUUAAGUCUGAUGUGAAAGCCCACGGCUCAACCGUGGAGGGUCAUUGGAAACUGGAGAACUUGAGUACAGAAGAGGAAAGCGGAAUUCCACGUGUAGCGGUGAAAUGCGUAGAGAUGUGGAGGAACACCAGUGGCGAAGGCGGCUUUCUGGUCUGUAACUGACGCUGAGGCGCGAAAGCGUGGGGGAGCAAACAGGAUUAGAUACCCUGGUAGUCCACGCCGUAAACGAUGAGUGCUAAGUGUUAGGGGGUUUCCGCCCCUUAGUGCUGCAGCUAACGCAUUAAGCACUCCGCCUGGGAGUACGGCCGCAAGGCUG